UGGUUUAACUCCUUCCCCUACUA
rnacentral:tRNA from 1 species